rnacentral:tRNA from 1 species
GCGGGGAUGGCGGAAUCGGCAGACGCGUACGUUUGAGGUGCGUAUGGGAGACCAUGCGGGUUCAAGUCCCGCUCUCCGCA